rnacentral:rRNA from 1 species
UCUUUUCCUUUUUUUCCCGCAGCCGAGGUAAUACGUAGGGGGCAAGCGUUAUCCGGAUUUACUGGGUGUAAAGGGAGCGUAGACGGACUGGCAAGUCUGAUGUGAAAGGCGGGGGCUCAACCCCUGGACUGCAUUGGAAACUGUUAGUCUUGAGUGCCGGAGAGGUAAGCGGAAUUCCUAGUGUAGCGGUGAAAUGCGUAGAUAUUAGGAGGAACACCAGUGGCGAAGGCGGCUUACUGGACGGUAACUGACGUUGAGGCUCGAAAGCGUGGGGAGCAAACAGG